UUUUUAGCUUAGCACUGAUUGUGGUGACUAAGGUGCUGGCACUCAGAACUAUAGCUAGUUAAGGGGAUAAUCGGUGGCAGGAUUGUGGGGAUAGAGGACCAGAGAGCUUUGUGAUCAUUUGUGUAAAGCUUGUUCAACCAGCAACUAAAUGUUUUGGUGUCUUUGCUCUAAAGAACAUUUUAUAUUAUGGUGACCUUACGUUUAUUGCUUUUCCAGGUCAUUUGAGCCUUGUCUAGACCCGUGCCUUUAAAAUAAACAAACUUCAGAAAGAAAAUCAAUACCAUAGGUGGAAGAGUUCAUGCAUUUCAGAGCCUCAGAAAUGCUGAAUGAAUUUGAGAGAUUAUAUCCUGACAAAGACUUACCCAAGUUCUGCAACCUUGCUUGCCUCUUGGGAGAGCGCUGCUGCUACAGGGAAGAGAGUUGGAUAUGGCUUGGGCACAGGCUGCCUAAGGAAGGAGUCCACUGAUGUCUUUAAAAGGAGUAUCAGCACACGCAGAAGUUGUUAUUUUGGCAGUAGUUGAAGCAUGAUGAAGAAUCGCUGCAAAAUAAAACAACAAAAAACAAACAGAUGAAGUUGCUGAUAGGGCCUCCACAGAAACCUAUGUUGAAGAAAUACAUGGAAUCGAUACACUGUGUAGUUUCCUUGGUCAGCCUCCCCUGUGGCUGCUUCCCACAGCCUGGCUGAUAUGAUUGGAAAUUCUUUUCUAUCUAUGAUGUUGAAUAAAGAUGAUCAG